UUAAGUUAUUAAGGGCGCACGGUGGAUGCCUUGGCACUAGAAGCCGAUGAAGGACGUUACUAACGACGAUAUGCUUUGGGGAGCUGUAAGUAAGCUUUGAUCCAGAGAUUUCCGAAUGGGGAAACCCAGCAUGAGUUAUGUCAUGUUAUCGAUAUGUGAAUACAUAGCAUAUCAGAAGGCACACCCGGAGAACUGAAACAUCUUAGUACCCGGAGGAAGAGAAAGAAAAUUCGAUUCCCUUAGUAGCGGCGAGCGAAACGGGAAGAGCCCAAACCAACAAGCUUGCUUGUUGGGGUUGUAGGACACUCUAUACGGAGUUACAAAGGACGACAUUAGACGAAUCAUCUGGAAAGAUGAAUCAAAGAAGGUAAUAAUCCUGUAGUCGAAAAUGUUGUCUCUCUUGAGUGGAUCCUGAGUACGACGGAGCACGUGAAAUUCCGUCGGAAUCUGGGAGGACCAUCUCCUAAGGCUAAAUACUCUCUAGUGACCGAUAGUGAACCAGUACCGUGAGGGAAAGGUGAAAAGCACCCCGGAAGGGGAGUGAAAUAGAACCUGAAACCGUGUGCUUACAAGUAGUCAGAGCCCGUUAAUGGGUGAUGGCGUGCCUUUUGUAGAAUGAACCGGCGAGUUACGAUUUGAUGCAAGGUUAAGCAGUAAAUGUGGAGCCGUAGCGAAAGCGAGUCUGAAUAGGGCGUUUAGUAUUUGGUCGUAGACCCGAAACCAGGUGAUCUACCCUUGGUCAGGUUGAAGUUCAGGUAACACUGAAUGGAGGACCGAACCGACUUACGUUGAAAAGUGAGCGGAUGAACUGAGGGUAGCGGAGAAAUUCCAAUCGAACCUGGAGAUAGCUGGUUCUCUCCGAAAUAGCUUUAGGGCUAGCCUCAAGUGAUGAUUAUUGGAGGUAGAGCACUGUUUGGACGAGGGGCCCCUCUCGGGUUACCGAAUUCAGACAAACUCCGAAUGCCAAUUAAUUUAACUUGGGAGUCAGAACAUGGGUGAUAAGGUCCGUGUUCGAAAGGGAAACAGCCCAGACCACCAGCUAAGGUCCCAAAAUAUAUGUUAAGUGGAAAAGGAUGUGGCGUUGCCCAGACAACUAGGAUGUUGGCUUAGAAGCAGCCAUCAUUUAAAGAGUGCGUAAUAGCUCACUAGUCGAGUGACACUGCGCCGAAAAUGUACCGGGGCUAAACAUAUUACCGAAGCUGUGGAUUGUCCUUUGGACAAUGGUAGGAGAGCGUUCUAAGGGCGUUGAAGCAUGAUCGUAAGGACAUGUGGAGCGCUUAGAAGUGAGAAUGCCGGUGUGAGUAGCGAAAGACGGGUGAGAAUCCCGUCCACCGAUUGACUAAGGUUUCCAGAGGAAGGCUCGUCCGCUCUGGGUUAGUCGGGUCCUAAGCUGAGGCCGACAGGCGUAGGCGAUGGAUAACAGGUUGAUAUUCCUGUACCACCUAUAAUCGUUUUAAUCGAUGGGGGGACGCAGUAGGAUAGGCGAAGCGUGCGAUUGGAUUGCACGUCUAAGCAGUAAGGCUGAGUAUUAGGCAAAUCCGGUACUCGUUAAGGCUGAGCUGUGAUGGGGAGAAGACAUUGUGUCUUCGAGUCGUUGAUUUCACACUGCCGAGAAAAGCCUCUAGAUAGAAAAUAGGUGCCCGUACCGCAAACCGACACAGGUAGUCAAGAUGAGAAUUCUAAGGUGAGCGAGCGAACUCUCGUUAAGGAACUCGGCAAAAUGACCCCGUAACUUCGGGAGAAGGGGUGCUCUUUAGGGUUAACGCCCAGAAGAGCCGCAGUGAAUAGGCCCAAGCGACUGUUUAUCAAAAACACAGGUCUCUGCUAAACCGUAAGGUGAUGUAUAGGGGCUGACGCCUGCCCGGUGCUGGAAGGUUAAGAGGAGUGGUUAGCUUCUGCGAAGCUACGAAUCGAAGCCCCAGUAAACGGCGGCCGUAACUAUAACGGUCCUAAGGUAGCGAAAUUCCUUGUCGGGUAAGUUCCGACCCGCACGAAAGGCGUAACGAUUUGGGCACUGUCUCAACGAGAGACUCGGUGAAAUCAUAGUACCUGUGAAGAUGCAGGUUACCCGCGACAGGACGGAAAGACCCCGUGGAGCUUUACUGUAGCCUGAUAUUGAAAUUCGGCACAGCUUGUACAGGAUAGGUAGGAGCCUUUGAAACGUGAGCGCUAGCUUACGUGGAGGCGCUGGUGGGAUACUACCCUAGCUGUGUUGGCUUUCUAACCCGCACCACUUAUCGUGGUGGGAGACAGUGUCAGGCGGGCAGUUUGACUGGGGCGGUCGCCUCCUAAAAGGUAACGGAGGCGCUCAAAGGUUCCCUCAGAAUGGUUGGAAAUCAUUCAUAGAGUGCAAAGGCAUAAGGGAGCUUGACUGCGAGACCUACAAGUCGAGCAGGGUCGAAAGACGGACUUAGUGAUCCGGUGGUUCCGCAUGGAAGGGCCAUCGCUCAACGGAUAAAAGCUACCCCGGGGAUAACAGGCUUAUCUCCCCCAAGAGUUCACAUCGACGGGGAGGUUUGGCACCUCGAUGUCGGCUCAUCGCAUCCUGGGGCUGUAGUCGGUCCCAAGGGUUGGGCUGUUCGCCCAUUAAAGCGGUACGCGAGCUGGGUUCAGAACGUCGUGAGACAGUUCGGUCCCUAUCCGUCGUGGGCGUAGGAAAUUUGAGAGGAGCUGUCCUUAGUACGAGAGGACCGGGAUGGACAUACCUCUGGUGUACCAGUUGUCGUGCCAACGGCAUAGCUGGGUAGCUAUGUGUGGACGGGAUAAGUGCUGAAAGCAUCUAAGCAUGAAGCCCCCCUCAAGAUGAGAUUUCCCAACUUCGGUUAUAAGAUCCCUCAAAGAUGAUGAGGUUAAUAGGUUCGAGGUGGAAGCAUGGUGACAUGUGGAGCUGACGAAUACUAAUCGAUCGAAGACUUAAUCAA
rnacentral:rRNA from 10 species